rnacentral:rRNA from 1 species
UACGUAGGUGGCGAGCGUUAUCCGGAAUUAUUGGGCGUAAAGAGCGCGCAGGUGGUUGAUUAAGUCUGAUGUGAAAGCCCACGGCUUAACCGUGGAGGGUCAUUGGAAACUGGUCGACUUGAGUGCAGAAGAGGGAAGUGGAAUUCCAUGUGUAGCGGUGAAAUGCGUAGAGAUAUGGAGGAACACCAGUGGCGAAGGCGGCUUUCUGGUCUACCCCUGACGCUGAGGAGCGAAAGCCAGGGGAGCAAACGGGAUUAGAUACCCCUGUA